rnacentral:rRNA from 1 species
UACGUAGGGGGCAAGCGUUAUCCGGAUUUACUGGGUGUAAAGGGAGCGUAGACGGCAUGGCAAGUCAGAUGUGAAAGCCCGGGGCUCAACCCCGGGACUGCAUUUGAAACUGUCAGGCUGGAGUGCAGGAGAGGUAAGCGGAAUUCCUAGUGUAGCGGUGAAAUGCGUAGAUAUUAGGAGGAACACCAGUGGCGAAGGCGGCUUACUGGACUGUAACUGACGUUGAGGCUCGAAAGCGUGGGGAGCAAAUAGG